GCCUAAGCUGGAGUGCGGUGGCAUGAUUUCAGCUCACUGCCACCUCUGCCUCCCAGGUUCAAGCAAUUCUCCCACCUCAGCCUGCCGAGUAGCUGGGACUACAGGCUCAUGCCACCGUGCCCCACUAAUUUCUGUAUUUUUAGUGGAGACAGGGUUUUGCCACGUUGGCCAGGCUAGUCUCAAACUCCUGGGCUCAGGGGAGCCAUCCACCUCGGCCUCCCAAAGUGCUGAGAUUACAGGCAUGAGACACCAUGCCCAGCCAAAAAGAUUUUUUAAAUAACUUAAAAUUUUUAAAAAAUAGACACUUGGGUUGCUACCAUGUUUUAGCUAUUGUGAAUAGUGUUGUUAUGAACAUGAGUGUAUGGAUAUAUCUUCCAGACUGCUUUCAAAUCUUAAAUAUAUACUCAGAAGUUGGAUUGCCUGAUCAUAUGGUAAUUCUGUUUUUAAUUUUGGAGGAAUUGUUGUAGUGUUUUCCACAGCAGCUGUACCAUUUUACAUUGUUCCUAACAACAGUACACAAGGGUUCCAAUUUCUCCACAUCUUUGCCAAUACUUGUUACUUUCUAUUUUUUAAUAGUAGCCAUCCUAGUGGGUGUGAGGGGUAUCUGAUUGUAGUUUUGACUUUCAUUUUCCUAAUCAUUAGUGAUGUUGAACACCUUGUCAUGUGCUUAUUGGCUUUUGGUAUGUCUUCUUUGGAAAAAUAUGUAUUUGUCAU
rnacentral:lncRNA from 1 species